UACGAAGGGGGCUAGCGUUGCUCGGAAUUACUGGGCGUAAAGGGCGCGUAGGCGGACAGUUUAGUCAGAGGUGAAAGCCCAGGGCUUAACCCUGGAAUUGCCUUUAAGACUGCAUCGCUAGAAUCGUGGAGAGGUGAGUGGAAUUCCGAGUGUAGAGGUGAAAUUCGUAGAUAUUCGGAAGAACACCAGUGGCGAAGGCGACUCACUGGACAGCGUAUUGACGCUGAGGUGGCGAAAGCGUGGGGAGCAAACAGG
rnacentral:rRNA from 1 species